UGCAAAACGAGUCGCAAGGACAAAUUUUGCGGUUUGUUAAACGCACGGCUCGCGAAAUAUUUGAAACGUUAACUUUGCUACUUCUUUCCGUAAAAUCUAUUUGCAUCCUUCAAUUUCGUUCGCGCAUACAUGAAUUUACUCUUUUAAUUAUUCGUUUAUGCAUUAUGCGUUAGUUCAGAUUAUGGAUUAGUUUGGAAAAUUACGAAGCAGAGACGUUAGUAAGCGGCUGUGAAUUUUUUCCAAAUUUUUCGGUGACCGAAGCAUUGCGACUAUUGGAGAUAAACGAAAUAGACUGGAAGGUACCAUGAUAUGACGCGUAGCGUGAAAAUGAAAUAUUACCAAGAGUUAAGACUGAAACACAAAUAUUCGUAGCUUUCGACACACCUAAUUGUCGAUUACCAACCAAAUAAAACAGCGAGUUAUCAAACCAGUGCUAAAAUACACGAUAUUCUACGAUAAGAAUAAAGUUCCAAGGACAAUCUGAAAUUUUACGUACACGAACGUUUGUUAUUUAAUUGAGCAACUUUUCAAAUAUCCAGAUAAGCAGAAUAUCAAUUAUACGAAGAAGAGAAGCAACGUAGAGAAACGAGAACGAGCGAUAAACUUAAUUCCUGAAACGACGAAUUGCUGUUCGGAGAUUUAGAACACGCCGCCUUGAUAAUAACGCGAAUAGCGUGGAAUAUUCGUGUGAAUAAACAGAAGGACAAGUCGCUAUCUAAAAUUAUGGGAAAAUAUAAUAAAAUUCGACGACCUUGUUCAGUUUCCGUUCAUAUAUCGAUACGACUUUCUUAUAAGCAGGAUCAUUGACUGAAAUCCUACGUGCUCGUUAUUAUACUUGUUAUCCUUGGACGUGUUUGUAUAGGAAACUUGCAUUCUUUUCCAUCCAUUCAAAAAGUAUGCAAAGUUGCUGCGGCGCAAUACAAAGCACGUUUCUCGCACGUGUCGCGAUACAUCAGCCAAGAUUGCACAAAUGUCAAAUUAACUAUCGAUAUUUCUCAUCAGACGCUUCUUUUGUCCAUUAAUUUCAUAGAACGAGAAAAACAAAAGAGAUACGAGAAUAAUCGAGCGUAUCUUAAACGAAUGCAAAUUCUACAUGGUUCCUCUCGCGAGUUAAACGAAACAACUGUAAUGGUUCUUGUUCGAUUAACGCGAUAUUUAAUGUAACACCCGUGCAUUAAAUUUCGUAUAAAUUGUAUUUGUUCGUGUUCCUACGAGCAAAUGGAAUUAAAGUUUCAAGGAUGAGAUUAAAAUACGAAAAAGAAAGAAACUAGAUAUUAAAUGUUAUUUUUAAUUUUAUUGGGUAAUCCAUCGAAUCGAUAGACGAUAUGGAUAAUUGCCAAACGUUAACAAUGGACCAUCGACGAUAAUGACUGAGGCACAAUGGCUUCGUAACGUAGUAGGAUAAACACGAAAUGCAACGUGUUAAUGAUCUUAACUCGCGGAGUUUGCAAGAUAUUAUGGCGAACAAUAGAAAUUUGCAUAUUUCUAUCAUUAUUCGUCGUAGUAAUGAUCGUGAUAAUAAUCGUGAUACAUGGUAGUAUCGCUAAUAGCAGUAGGUAUUGAUUUAUGUAUAGGAAUCAUUUCUAAAGUUAAGAAACAUUUCCAUAAAAAUGUUAUAUCUAGAUGCGACUAUCAAAGAUACUGCAUAGAGAUACUUUCGGCAGAAUCAACAUUGACUUUUAUUCGGAUAAAAACACGAUCAUAUUUUCCUACAUAUUUUCAUUUGUCAAACGAAUUAAUAGAAAUGAAUUGUAGAUUUAAAAUGACAAAUAAUUGGAAAAAGUUUAGCAGAGUAAUUUUUGUACACAGACCGGACGAAACUAACGGAAAUAAACGGAUAGAAUUAUGAACGCGAACAAGAUAGGAGAAAGAAAAGUAAAGAUCUGUGCUUCGUCGAAAAUCCGAGUAUCUGGUGACAGCAUUGCUUUCGAGUAUGUCUGAAAAUUCAAAAAUGCUUGAUGCAAUUUACACCUUGUUAAGAUAGCUGUACAUAAUCCUCGAAAAACGUUAUCUGUACAAGAUACAACUUGUAUUAACGUAGAAUCUUGACACGCGGAAUCGAUAUGGUAGCUACGUCUCGAAAUUAAAUAACAGUAACAGAUAUCGCGUUUAUCUUAAUUGCCGUAUAACUGCAUCCUUGUCCAGGUAAGGUAGCAACAGUAAUAAAAGCUUGAGAAAAAGAUAAUCGAUAAUCUUGAAUGAAAAUAUCAAUAAAAUCGUUCAUAUACCAUUGCGAGUAUCGCAUAAUUCGUAUAAGAAAACCUGUCACGAGAUCGUCACGGUUCUACUGUCAAGAGAGAAGCUUCGACUUAUCGCUAUCUAACGAUAAUUUCGCUUCUUUGAAUAUCGAUAGUCGUGGAUCAAAUCUAUUGGGUUGGCAACUAAGCGGUUGCGGAUUUUGUCAUUGCCACCUAUUGGGUUGGCAACUAAGUGAUUGCAGAUUUUGUCAAUAGGUGGUAAUGACAAAAUCUGCAAUCUCUUUGUUACCAACCUAAUAACAGAAGUGAAUUCUGGAUCGGCAGCGAUACAAUUAAAAGUUGUACGAUUGUCGAGGCAAGAACGAAUGGAAAAUGUAUUAUAGACCGAAAUUUUAAAUAAAAUUAAAAUACGUGUUAAAAUACGUUGCUUUUCUCUUAAGAUGAUUAAAUUUGAAAAUUCUCUAGACACGCUUCCAUUCGGUCGAUAGUUCAUACGAAUUUGUGCCUUUACGAACGCAUCUAGAGAAACAGAACCUAAACAAAGAAUAUUAGAAUCGAUUAAUCGUAAUAUCGUGCUUGUCGAGUAGCGUAAUUUUGUUCGUUAGUGGUUGAUUAAUACAUGCUGAUAAAUAACUUACUUUCACAAUCAAAAUCGACAAGUUCGAGACAUGUUACUCUUCGAACGAGACGAUAUAGACUGUAGAGAAUCGUAAAUGCGGAAUGUAAACAUAAAUUAUAUUUAUGAAUGAUGGUGGCAGUGAUGCAAACAGUCAACAUCAACAGAGCCGACUCAUAACUUCGCCGACUGUCACUCGAGAUAUUUCACACGACUCGUGUGUGUAAUUUAACCAAAUUAAAUGCACGCCUGUGUAUUCAAAUAUGUACAAGAGCAUCGAACAAAACCAACUUCGUACGUGGAAUAAACAUAAAACGACUUGCAAGUGUACAAAGAAAAGCGCGUCUCCUUCGCUCGUUUAAACACGUUCGUUCUAUGAUUUUCGCAGUUAGUUUUAAUUCAUCGAUGCCAUUCGAACCUACGCGUUUCUACGAUACUACCGACACCUUCGCAGAAUUAUAAUUAACUGCUCGAAUAAAUGUAUCGGAACGUACGGUGAGAACGAAAUCUUAAAGAGUAAUAACUGAGACGAAAUUAACCGUGAUAUUAUACCAGUAAAAUAUCUCAUUGACUUUCGAUUUUCACUAUUUUCCGAAGAUAACAGCUCUUUCGUAUUUAUACUUCUUCGCUACUUUUUGAUACGGAAAGCUGAAAAUAUUCGGUACAGUUCUUUCGCGAUGUAACUACUCUUGUUAAAAGACGUUGAAACGUAUGGGAAGAGGAAUGGAAGAUUUUUCCAGAAGAAACCGAACGUGAACGAGAGUUGUUUUUCUUACGAAUCCUUCGAUUAAAAUACUUUGUAUCCUCGUGUGACAAUUAAAUUUAUUUUAAAAUA